rnacentral:rRNA from 1 species
ACGCUCGACACCUACGGGAGGAGCAGUAGGGAAUCUUCCACAAUGGACGCAAGUCUGAUGGAGCAACGCCGCGUGAGUGAAGAAGGUUUUCGGAUCGUAAAGCUCUGUUGUUGGUGAAGAAGGAUAGAGGUAGUAACUGGCCUUUAUUUGACGGUAAUCAACCAGAAAGUCACGGCUAACUACGUGCCAGCAGCCGCGGUAAUCUGAGGCGGGCGUGGCGAAGGC